UCUGUCCUCACUCCUGUCUGUUUGCUGGACUCGUCUCAGCCUCCAGCUCUCGGGAGCCUGACCAGCACCUUGGCCUUUGGUGCCCCAGGUAGGCACCUCCAUGUUUCGGGUGACGCAGCCCCUGCAGUCCAGGGGACAGGACACGCAGGCAGAGGUAGGAGAGCGAUGCUUCUGCAUGAGGGGUGUCUUGGGGUAACUACUGGGGGAUUCAGCCUCUGGCAGGUACAGCUGACCCCACACUCAUGCUGCACUUCCUGAGCAUUCUGCCCUAACAGGAGCUUUCCUUGGGGGUCCCUGCCUGAGUCUGGAGUGACCCCUGGAGACACGGGGUUGGACCCAGACAAACCAUUCAGAAGACCCAGCUUGGAGUCUGAAUCUGGCACUGACCUCGAGAGCCUUGGCAUGCCUCACCACGCUUCCCGCUUGUGAUCCCAUCAGAUAAGACAAAUAUUGUCCCUCGUGGGCAUAUGUAACUGCCUUUCAUGAUCUGACCCGUAUUGACUGAGCGUCUCCCGUGGAGCAGGUUGCUGGCAGAUGCUGGGACGGAGUGGCCAUGGGCAGCGUCUCUGCUUGUGGUGCUGCUAUUCCAGCCCCUCUGCCUGGUGAUACCCAGCGCUCAGCCGAGGUGCACCUGCUCCCAGCACCUUGACACCGGCUGCUCUGCCAGUGUCAGAGCCACUCACAGGUGCCCCAGAGAACUGGACCGCCUACUGCCCAAUUGGAAAGUAACACUCAAGUCAGGCUUCUGCGUGAAAGCCAUUUAGUUUAUGUUCUAAGCCCGAUUUUAUUCAGACCCUCCGUCUUUAGAACCACAUCUGGAUCCCAAGAGAGAACUUGAAUACUUAAGAAAUAAGACCAACGUCUUUACCUGAAACACGCGUCUACAAAUGCUUCCCAAUGACUUGAUUCACAGGAAGGCAGGUGCGUUUGGGGAAUUUAACCGAAGCGUGAAUUUCCAGAUCCUUUUGUGUCCGAUGACUGCUGACACGGAAGGGGGCAUCAUCUGGAAGCUCCGGGGAGGUUUUCUUACUGGGAGGCGAUGGCCGGUUACGUCCUG
ensembl:lncRNA